rfam:Schistosoma curassoni strain Dakar, Senegal genome assembly, scaffold: SCTD_scaffold0003214
GCCUCCGUGGUGCAACCGGUUAGCGCGUUCGGCUGUUAACCGAAAGGUUGGUGGUUCGAGCCCACCUGGAGGCG